UACGGGGGGGGCAAGCGUUGUUCGGAAUUACUGGGCGUAAAGGGCUCGUAGGCGGCCAACUAAGUCAGACGUGAAAUCCCUCGGCUUAACCGGGGAACUGCCUCUGAUACUGGAUGGCUUGAGAUUGGGAGAGGGAUGCGGAAUUCCUGGUGUAGCGGUGAAAUGCGCAGAUAUCAGGAGGAACACCGGUGGCGAAGGCGGGUCUCUGGGCCGAUACUGACGCUGAGGAGCGAAAAGCGUGGGGGGAGCGAAACAGG
rnacentral:rRNA from 1 species